UCCCCGGUGGUCUAGUGGUUAGGAUUCUGGGUUUUCACUGCCAUGGCCCAGGUUCGAUCCCUGGUUGGGGAA
rnacentral:tRNA from 1 species